rnacentral:rRNA from 1 species
GACGAACGCUGGCGGCGUGCUUAACACAUGCCAGUCGAACGGAAAGGCCCCCUUGUGGGGUACUCGAGUGGCGAACGGGUGAGUAACACGUGAGUAACCUACCCUUGACUUUGGGAUAACUUCAGGAAACUGGGGCUAAUACCGGAUAGGAGCUCCUGCUGCAUGGUGGGGGUUGGAAAGUUUCGGCGGUUGGGGAUGGGCUCGCGGCUUAUCAGCUUGUUGGUGGGGUAGUGGCUCACCAAGGCUUUGACGGGUAGCCGGCCUGAGAGGGUGACCGGCCACAUUGGGACUGAGAUACGGCCCAGACUCCUACGGGAGGCAGCAGUGGGGAAUAUUGCACAAUGGGCGGAAGCCUGAUGCAGCAACGCCGCGUGCGGGAUGACGGCCUUCGGGUUGUAAACCGCUUUCGCCUGUGACGAAGCGUGAGUGACGGUAAUGGGUAAAGAAGCACCGGCUAACUACGU